rnacentral:misc_RNA from 1 species
CGCUAGUAAUCGCGGAUCAGCAUGCCGCGGUGAAUACGUUCCCGGGCCUUGUACACACCGCCCGUCACACCACGAGAGUUUGUAACACCCGAAGUCGGUGGAGUAACCGUAAGGAGCUAGCCGCCUAAGGUGGGACAGAUGAUUGGGGUGAAGUCGUAACAAGGUAGCCGUAUCGGAAGGUGCGGCUGGAUCACCUCCUUUCUAAGGAUUUUUACAUGACGUACGUUUUGACACUUUGUUCAGUUUUGAGAGUUCAAUCUCUCAUUAAUAAUUGCGCCUACGAUUACUCGGCGCAAAACUGCACGUAGAUAUCACAGUGAUGUUUAUCACGAUGUGAUUGAAGUCAGUUGUUUUGUUCUUUGAAAACUAGAUAACAGUAAUUGCUGAGGAAAAGUGAAACUUUUCUUUAAUCAAACCAAUAAAUACCACAACAUUACGUUGUACCAUUUAUUCGCUAAUGGUUAAGUUAGAAAGGGCGCACGGUGAAUGCCUUGGCACUAGGAGCCGAUGAAGGACGGGACUAACACCGAUAUGCA